rnacentral:rRNA from 1 species
UACGUAGGGUGCGAGCGUUAAUCGGAAUUACUGGGCGUAAAGUGUGCGCAGGCGGCCGAGCAAGUCGAGUGUGAAAGCCCCGGGCUUAACUUGGGAAUUGCGCUCGAAACUACUUGGCUGGAGUGUGGCAGAGGAAGGUGGAAUUCCAGGUGUAGCGGUGAAAUGCGUAGAGAUCUGGAGGAAUACCGAUGGCGAAGGCAGGUCUCUGGGACGUUACUGACGCUGAGAAGCGAAAGCAUGGGGAGCGAACAGG